rnacentral:rRNA from 1 species
CCUACGGGAGGCAGCAGUGGGGAAUAUUGGACAAUGGGGGAAACCCUGAUCCAGCGACGCCGCGUGAGUGAAGAAGUAUUUCGGUACGUAAAGCUCUAUCAGCAGGAAAGAAAAUGACGGUACCUGACUAAGAAGCCCCGGCUAACUACGUGCCAGCAGCCGCGGUAAUACGUAGGGGGCAAGCGUUAUCCGGAUUUACUGGGUGUAAAGGGAGCGUAGACGGCAGCGCAAGUCUGGAGUGAAAUGCCGGGGGCCAACCCCGGAACUGCGCUGGAAACUGUGAAGCUGGAGUGCAGGAGAGGUAAGCGGAAGUCCUGGUGUAGCGGUGAAAUGCGUAGAUAUCAGGAGGAACACCGGCGGCGAAGGCGGCUUACUGGACUGUAACUGACGUUGAGGCUCGAAGGCGUGGGGAGCAAACAGGAUUAGAUACCCCAGUAGUC